AUGGCCGCCCGUGCUUCAACGCAUCACUCGCCGGCGGCCGCCCUUGCUUCAACGCAGCACUCGACGACGGCCGCCCGUGCUGCAACACAACAGUCGCCGGUGGCCACCCUUGCUUCAACGCAGCACUCGACGGCGGCGAGUUUGGCGGUGCUGCGCGGCAGGGCGAUGAUGCAGGCAGGAGCAACAAAUCGGUCGGUGCCGAGCUGGGUGCUGCAACGGAACGACGGUGCUACGGCGGCUUCUGUGCAUGAUGUUUGCGUUCUGCUGAAUGUGGAAGAGAAGAAAGCGAUUGUGUGUUGA
rnacentral:rRNA from 1 species